rnacentral:misc_RNA from 1 species
UACAGAGGGGGCAAGCGUUGUUCGGAAUUACUGGGCGUAAAGGGCUCGUAGGCGGCCUGCUAAGUCUAACGUGAAAUCCCCGGGCUCAACCCGGGAACUGCGUCCGAUACUGGCAGGCUUGAAUCAGGGAGAGAGAUGCGGAAUUCCAGGUGUAGCGGUGAAAUGCGUAGAUAUCUGGAGGAACACCGGUGGCGAAGGCGGCAUCCUGGACCGGUAUUGACGCUGAGGCGCGAACGCCAGGGGAGCAAACGGG